rnacentral:misc_RNA from 1 species
UACGUAGGUGGCAAGCGUUGUCCGGAAUUAUUGGGCGCAAAGCGCGCGCAGGCGGGCCUUUAAGUCCGAUGUGAAAGCCCACGGCUCAACCGUGGAGGGUCAUUGGAAACUGGGGGACUUGAGUACAGAAGAGGAAAGCGGAAUUCCACGUGUAGCGGUGAAAUGGGUAGAGAUGUGGAGGAACACCAGUGGCGAAGGCGGCUUUCUGGUCUGUAACCGACGCUGAGGCGCGAAAGCGUGGGUAGCAAACAGG